rnacentral:rRNA from 1 species
UGGGGAAUAUUGGACAAUGGGCGCAAGCCUGAUCCAGCCAUGCCGCGUGAGUGAUGAAGGCCUUAGGGUUGUAAAGCUCUUUCGCGCGCGACGAUAAUGACGGUAGCGCGAGAAGAAGCCCCGGCUAACUUCGUGCCAGCAGCCGCGGUAAUACGAAGGGGGCUAGCGUUGUUCGGAAUCACUGGGCGUAAAGGGCGCGUAGGCGGCGCGGUAAGUCACUUGUGAAAUCUCUGAGCUUAACUCAGAACGGCCAAGUGAUACUGCUGUGCUAGAGUGCGGAAGAGGCAACCGGAAUUCUUGGUGUAGCGGUGAAAUGCGUAGAUAUCAAGAGGAACACCUGAGGCGAAGGCGGGUUGCUGGGCCGACACUGACGCUGAUGCGCGAAAGCCAGGGGAGCAAACG